CCACCCAUAGUUCAGUGGUUGGACCGGAGGACUGUAGAUUCUUAAGGUCCCUGGUUGGAAUCCCGGUGGGUGGG
rnacentral:tRNA from 1 species